GAGCGCCAAGACGAACAGAUUGUGCUGCAGAGGGUGUUUAGGAAGGGCCAUUAAGACAACUUAAGUUAUCGAAAGGCUGUGACAGGAGAUUCGUGAUGCGUGACAGGAAUAGGCUUAGGUGGUGGAAGGACAAAGAAAGGAAGUUGGGUCCAAAGUCAAGUAAAGAUAGCAGAAGGGCGGAUUCUGUGCUUGGGGUAUCUGGAAGAGUCUGAAACUCAGGGAAAUGGGAUAUAGUGCUCACAGGCCACUUUUCUUUGGGGCUGAAAGGACUGGGCCUACAGGACGUCUGCAUCAGAAGUCCCCUUUCCCAGCAGGUGCUGUGUGGGUUCCAGCUCAUGGGGAGGGCUGGGUGUGGCCAGCGGGGGGGGGGGGUGGGCAUCACAUGCAAGAGAGUGAGCAUGGAGAAGGCUCACUGUAGACCGGGAGCUGGGGAGGUGUGGUCCACAGGGGAGGCCCAGAGGUCAGAGGACAAGGUCUGGACAUUCUGGAUAUUAGCUCCAGAGGGCCCAGUUGGGGUCUUAUUGAGACCAUAAACCAGGAGGAUGCACGCAGGUUUUUGAGGCAUGAGAACUAGUGUUCGAUGCUUCCAGGGCCGCCCAGCAUCUCUUUGCCCUGCUUCUGACACAGCCUCCUGCCCUGGCACACACUGCAGCACAGGGGGGCACCCUGGGUAGACAGCUGCACAGCAAGGAUGUGGAUCCGGGUUACUGCAUAAUCUUCUUUUCCUGAGAGAGGACAGCAUUCAUAGUGACUCAAGCUUGGAAACUAAGGAAUGCCAGAGUAUUAGAGAUGCAGGUGCAUCAUCGGAGAUGGAGGUUCAUCAUCGGAGAGGGAGGUGCAUCAUCGGAGGUGCAGGUGCAUCAUCGGAGAGGGAGGUGCAUCAUCGGAGGUGCAGGUGCAUCAUCAGAGGUGCAGGUGCAUCAUCGGAGGUGCAGGUGCAUCAUCGGAGAGGGAGGUGCAUCAUCGGAGGUGCAGGCGCAUCAGGGACACGCGUCGUGAGCAGCUCUUGUGAGCCAAGGGUCACGUGAGGGUGCGGGACAGGGCAUACAAAUGAGGCCCCCCCUGGUCCCAGGACAGCACCCGGGCGGGGCAGAGGCACCCACCGCAUGGCCGACAGAGGCACUCAGGACCAAACCUCACAUUUUAAAGUAUUCCCCCCAAGAAAGGUCCCGCCUUGGGUGUGUGGCAGGGCAGCAGAAGGCGAUAAGCACCAAGGAGACACAAAUGACUAAGAAGGUAUUGCGUGGUGGCUGCGGGGAAGUAGGAGGAGAAACCCACGGUGGGGAUGCCAGCUGGUGAUGGCGCUGCUGGGAGGCACUUUUUCUUCUCUGAGAAGCCCGUUAAACCGCAGGGACUGGAGAGCUCUCCCAGCUUACUUCAUGGGGCUGAGAGGAGCUUGACAAGUACCCUGAGAUGCUUGGUAAGGAAGGCUUCCUGCAGUGGUUGAGGUAGUCACCGUCUUGGGCCAGAAGCAUACACCUCACCGUAUAAACCAGGACUGAAGAGCUCCUAGGACUUUAAAGGUCUGAUUUUGAUCAUGGAACGUCAGUCUUAGAAGUAAGAAAAAAAUAUCCUACCUCUGGCAUUACUUACAGCCUUGGAGAAGGCACCUGACCUCUUUUUUAUUUACCAUGUCUAUAAGAAGUUGGAUUUGGAAAGGUUCAAGCUGACGCCUUUCCAAAGGAGAUGCUCACCAAAUGUUUGUGAAAGAACAAGAUGAAAGACGACCGUGUGACUUGAUGUCAUUUCCCAGAAAAAAACAGACAACAUGGCCAAAUGGCACGCUAUGGUCCAAUGCCAUUUGGACUAAUGAUUUAUUCCUUUAACUUCUUUUUUAAGAAAGUAAAAUAAACCCCCAAACAGCA